rnacentral:rRNA from 1 species
AAGCGUUAAUCGGAAUUACUGGGCGUAAAGCGCACGCAGGCGGUUUGUUAAGUCAGAUGUGAAAUCCCCGGGCUCAACCUGGGAACUGCAUCUGAUACUGGCAAGCUUGAGUCUCGUAGAGGGGGGUAGAAUUCCAGGUGUAGCGGUGAAAUGCGUAGAGAUCUGGAGGAAUACCGGUGGCGAAGGCGGCCCCCUGGACGAAGACUGACGCUCAGGUGCGAAAGCGUGGGGAGCAAACAGGAUUAGAUACCCUGGUAGUCCACGCCGUAAACGAUGUCGACUUGGAGGUUGUGCCCUUGAGGCGUGGCUUCCGGAGCUAACGCGUUAAGUCGACCGCCUGGGGAGUACGGCCGCAAGGUUAAAACUCAAAUGAAUUGACGGGGGCCCGCACAAGCGGUGGAGCAUGUGGUUUAAUUCGAUGCAACGCGAAGAACC